GACGAACGCUGGCGGCGUGCUUAACACAUGCAAGUCGAACGGUGAAGCGCCUUCCUUUUUGGUGGGUGUGGAUGAGUGGCGAACGGGUGAGUAACACGUGAGUAACCUGCCCCCUUCUUCUGGAUAACCGCAUGAAAGUGUGGCUAAUACGGGAUAUUCUGGGUCUGUCGCAUGAUGGGUCUGGGAAAGAUAUUGUUUCGGUGGGGGAUGGGCUCGCGGCCUAUCAGCUUGUUGGUGGGGUGAUGGCCUACCAAGGCGGUGACGGGUAGCCGGCCUGAGAGGGUGGACGGCCACACUGGGACUGAGACACGGCCCAGACUCCUACGGGAGGCAGCAGUGGGGAAUAUUGCACAAUGGGCGCAAGCCUGAUGCAGCGACGCCGCGUGAGGGAUGGAGGCCUUCGGGUUGUGAACCUCUUUCGCCAGUGAAGCAGGCCUGCCUCGUUUGUGGGUGGGUGGACGGUAGCUGGAUAAGAAGCGCCGGCUAACUACGU
rnacentral:rRNA from 1 species